AGGACGAACGCUGGCGGCGUGCUUAACACAUGCAAGUCGAACGGUGAUGGAGAGCUUGCUCUUCUGAUCAGUGGCAAACGGGUGAGUAACACGUGAGUAACCUGCCCUUCACUCUGGGAUAACUCCGGGAAACCGGGCUAAUACUGGAUACGACCUGAACAGGCAUCUGUAUCGGGUGGAAAGAUUUAUUGGUGGAGGGAUGGACUCGCGGCCUAUCAGCUUGUUGGUGAGGUAAUGGCUUACCAAGGCGACGACGGGUA
rnacentral:rRNA from 1 species